rnacentral:rRNA from 1 species
GAGUCUGACGGAGCACGCCGCGUGAGUGAUGAAGGCUUUCGGGUCGCUAAAACUCUGUGUUGGGGAAGAACAAGUACAAGAGUAACUGCUUGUACCUUGACGGUACCUAACCAGAAAGCCACGGCUAACUACGUGCCAGCAGCCGCGGUAAUACGUAGGUGGCAAGCGUUAUCCGGAAUUAUUGGGCGUAAAGCGCGCGCAGGCGGUUUCUUAAGUCUGAUGUGAAAGCCCACGGCUCAACCGUGGAGGGUCAUUGGAAACUGGGGAACUUGAGUGCAGAAGAGAAAAGCGGAAUUCCACGUGCAGCGGUGAAAUGCGUAGAGAUGUGGAGGAACACCAGUGGCGAAGGCGGCUUUUUGGUCUGUAACUGACGCUGAGGCGCGAAAGCGUGGGGAGCAAACAGGAUUAGAUACCCUGGUAGUCCACGCCGUAAACGAUGAGUGCUAAGUGUUAGAGGGUUUCCGCCCUUUAGUGCUGCAGCUAACGCUUGAAGCACUCCGCCUGGGGAGUACGGUCGCAAGACUGAAACUCAAA